UGGGGAAUCUUGGACAAUGGGCGCAAGCCUGAUCCAGCCAUGCCGCGUGAGUGAAGAAGGCCUUCGGGUUGUAAAGCUCUUUUACCAGGGACGAUAAUGACGGUACCUGGAGAAUAAGCCCCGGCAAACUUCGUGCCAGCAGCCGCGGUAAUACGAAGGGGGCUAGCGUUGUUCGGAAUUACUGGGCGUAAAGCGCACGUAGGCGGAUUGUUAAGUCAGAGGUGAAAUCCCGGAGCUCAACUUCGGAACUGCCUUUGAUACUGGCAAUCUCGAGUCCGGAAGAGGUUAGUGGAAUUCCCAGUGUAGAGGUGAAAUUCGUAGAUAUUGGGAAGAACACCAGUGGCGAAGGCGGCUAACUGGUCCGGUACUGACGCUGAGGUGCGAAAGCGUGGGGAGCAAACAGGAUUAGAUACCCCAGUAGUCCCUGAGCGGGC
rnacentral:rRNA from 1 species